CAGUCGCCGCGGGAAUACGAAGGGGGCUAGCGUUGUUCGGAAUUACUGGGCGUAAAGCGCACGUAGGCGGAUGUUUAAGUCCGUUGUGAAAGCCCUGGGCUCAACCUGGGAAUUGCAGUGGAUACUGGGUCACUAGAGUGUGGUAGAGGAUAGUGGAAUUUCCGGUGUAGCAGUGAAAUGCGUAGAGAUCGGAAGGAACAUCUGUGGCGAAGGCGACUAUCUGGGCCAACACUGACACUGAGGCACGAAAGCGUGGGGAGCAAACAGGAUUAGAUACCCGUGUAGUCCCUGUCUCUUAUAC
rnacentral:rRNA from 1 species